rnacentral:rRNA from 1 species
UACGUAGGGGGCAAGCGUUGUCCGGAAUCACUGGGCGUAAAGCGCGCGCAGGCGGCUGUCUACGUCCGGGGUGAAAGCCCAGAGCUCAACUCUGGGACUGCCUUGGAUACGGGAUAGCUUGAGGAUCGGAGAGGCAAGGGGAAUUCCACGUGUAGCGGUGAAAUGCGCAGAUAUCAGGAAGAACACCUAUGGCGAAGGCAGCUCUCUGGGACGGUACUGACGCUGAGACGCGAAAGCGUGGGGAGCGAACAGG